rnacentral:rRNA from 1 species
ACGCUCGACACCUACGGGGAGGCAGCAGGUGGGGAAUAUUGCACAAUGGGGGAAACCCUGAUGCAGCGACGCCGCGUGGAGGAAGAAGGUCUUCGGAUUGUAAACUCCUGUUGUUAGGGGAAAAAGAGGAUGGUACCCAACAAGGAAGUGACGGCUAACUACGUGCCAACAGCCGCGGUAAUCUGAGCGGGCUGGCAAGGC